rnacentral:rRNA from 1 species
GACGAACGCUGGCGGCGUGCUUAACACAUGCAAGUCGAACGGACAGGCCCUGCUCUUGUGGGUUGCUCGAUAGGCGAACGCGUGAGUAACACGUGUGUAUCCUGUCCUUGUCUGUGGGAUGACUUCUGGAAACUGGGGCUAAUACCGGAUAGGAUCUCCUGCUCCACGGUGGGGGUUGGAAAGUUUCGGCGGUUGGGGCUAGACUCGCGGCUUAUCAGCUUGUUGGUGGGGUAGUUGCAUACCAAGGCUAUGACGGGUAGGCGGCCUGAGAGGGUAGACGGCGACAAGGGGACUGCGAGAGGGCGCAGACUGGUACGGGAGGCAGCAGUGGAGAAUAUUGCAGAAUGGGCGGAAGCCUGAUGCAGCAACGCCGGGAGCGGGAUGACGGGCUUCGGGGUGUAAACCGCUGUCGCCGGAGACGAGGCGUGAGUGACGGUAAUGGGUAAAGAAGCAACGGCUAACUACGUG